rnacentral:rRNA from 1 species
CAGUCGCCACGGUAAUACAGAGGAUGCAAGCGUUAUCCGGAAUGAUUGGGCAUAAAGUGUCUGUAGGUGGCUUUUCAAGUCCGCCGUCAAAUCCCAGGGCUCAACCGUGGACAGGCGGUGGAAACUACCAAGCUGGAGUAUGGUAGGGGCAGAGGGAAUUUCCGGUGGAGCGGUGAAAUGCGUUGAGAUCGGAAAGAACACAACAGCGAAAUCACUCUGCUAGGCCGACACUGACACUGAGAGACGAAAUCUAGGGGAGCAAAUGGGAUUAGAUACCCCCGUAGUCCCUGUCUCUUAUACA